ensembl:lncRNA
GAAAGAGCUGAGCAAGGAAGAAAGCAGCAGGGCAUAGGGUUGGUGCUUCAGGGCUGGGCUGUGCCACAGGGCUCUGGAGAGAGGUGGCGUUGCUCAAGGCUUGCUGCAGUGCAAAAACAGAAUUUGUGAGCAGAGAUAGGGGAAGCUGGCAAGCUGCUGCAGUGCAGGGCUGGGAGGUGGAGCAGUGCAGGCUGCAAUGCUGCAGCAUGGGGGAGAGUGGGGAAAAGAGCUGGAAAAAUGGGUUUCUGGUAUUGCUGACUGCUGGUAGUGCUGCAAUGCAGAGGAGUUGUGCAGAGACGGGAGAGGGAAUGCAGGAGCUUCAUGUAAUGAUGCAGCGCAAGAAAGAGGGAAAUCUGGGCUGCAGAUCCUAGAGCUCAGAGAGCAAGGGGAUGGCAAGACCCCGCAAGAAGGGGAGAAGGUUCUCAUCCCAGGAUGAGCCGCUGGGGGUGGUUCAUGUGUCUGCAGCCAGCAUCUGUGGUCACCGAUAAAACACAGCCUCUCCUGCUGCCGAAGCUCUGAGGGAGAACCCGUUUCAGGGCCAAACCCCUUGCCUGGGCUGCCUGGAGGAUGGAGGAGGCAGUCCCUGAGCCUUUGCCCAAGUUUCUUCUGAAUUUAAAUGCCAACUCAAGCAGGAGCCAGUUCUCUGCCCAGUGCCAGAUCACUCACCAGCCAGAUGGCACCUUCUGAAGCUCUUCCACCUUCAUACAAGCUUCAAGGGAUGCAGCGAAGGUGUUUGCAGAUCUUUUUGGAGUAAAACAAACUGAUCUCAAGUAGCUGCAGGACAGAAACCUGGCUUUCAGCAGAGGCUCUGGCUGCUGCUCCUUGCUUACCUGGGAAG